CUAGGCUAACCCGUUCCUAUCCACGCUGUCAGGUUCUAGGCUAGCCUGUUACUAUCCAUGCUGUCAGGUUCUAGGCUAACCCGUUCCUAUCCAUGCUGUCAGGUUCUAGGCUAACCCGUUCCUAUCCAUGCUGUCAGGUUCUAGGCUAACCCGUUACUAUCCAUGCUGUCAGGUUCUAGGCUAGUCCGUUACUAUCCAUGCUGUCAGGUUCUAGGCUAGCCCGUUACUAUCCAUGCUGUCAGGUUCUAGGUUAGGAAGGAUGUCUGUAUCAAUACACCCAGUCACUACAAAGAUACAGGCAUCCUUCCUAACUCAGUGUAUCAAUACACCCAGUCACUACUAAGAUACAUACGUCCUUCCUAACUCAGUGUAUCAAUACACCCAGUCACUACACAGAUACAGGCAUCCUUCCUAACUCAGUGUAUCAAUACACCCAGUCACUACAAAGAUACAGGCAUCCUUCCUAACUCAGUGUAUCAAUACACCCAGUCACUACAAAGGUACAGGCAUCCUUCCUAACUCAGUGUAUCAAUACACCCAGUCACUACACAGAUACAGGCAUCCUUCCUAACUCAGUGUAUCAAUACACCCAGUCACUACAAAGGUACAGGCAUCCUUCCUAACUCAGUGUAUCUAUACACCCAGUCACUACAAAGAUACAGGCAUCCUUCCUAACUCAGUGUAUCAAUACACCCAGUCACUACAAAGAUACAGGCAUCCUUCCUAACUCAGUGUAUCAAUACACCCAGUCACUACACAGAUACAGACAUCCUUCCC